GACGCGGCAAGUAUCUGGGAAUUUUCACCAUGACCACACUAAAAGUGCCCUGCCUUCCUCACGUUACAAAUGAGAAAGCUGAAGUUUCAGGGUGGGUGAAAGUACUGUAAAGAGUCCUAGAAACUCAAAUUGUCUAACUGGACCAGGCCGAGGGCGUUGUCAGUUCGGGAAUCAGAGCAGAGGAAGACAGCCGCAGAGAUCAAACCAGGAAAACAGGCCGGAUCUCCAAGGAGGCAAGCGAAAAAUGUCCCUUGUGGAAUUUAACAUAAUACGCUGUCAAAAUUUUUGCCUUGAAGAGCUGACAACGACUAAAGGAACAUUGAAGCCUCAGAGGAAAAGAACAAGGUAGCUGCUGCCUCAGUUGGAGACCCUCAUGUGUGGAGAUGUGGCCAGCAUCUUCUGGAGCAGCACGC